AGCAAUUUUCUGAUAUGUUUCUUUUUACCCUUCAAGAUAUAAGAUUUAGAAAUGGAGAUUCACCCCACCACGUAAUCAUCCACUGAUGUUGCCUUUUAGUAACAAAGUAAGCAAGCAAGCACUAACCUCGAGCUAGGUUUCUGCUGACCUUAAGGAUUUAUUUGGGCAGACAGACAGCAAUAAAUAAUAUAACCCAUAUUCAAUUUAUUUAAAGUUUCAUUCUCAGGGAUUCCUUUAGGACUUGUUGGAUUCAGCUGCAUUCCAUACUGUGCCAUAGGACCGUGCUUGGCCAACAAGGGAUUGUUGAACCUUCUAUAAGGGAUAUCCAGAACAUCGGCCUAAUUUUUAUACAUAAACUUUGUUCCACUCAAACAGCAGCUGGGAGUUAAACCUUGGGGGUUUCCAAACUAAUUCAGGGGAGAUUUUACAGUGGAAAGAAUGGCCGUCGGAGAGAGCAGAGGAAGGAGAAUUCUGAGCACUGUAUAGCACAGACCCAUAGCCAGGCUAUGGCUUGGUAAUUAUUUAUUGAUUUGGAUUGUGCAGGUCCAAGGGUCAGUGCAAGUGCAGAGAGAAAGGCAGAGGAGAAAAACAAAGACAGCAAUUAAAGAAGAGGCUCGAACCAACAGGAAAGGCAAUCCGAAAAGGAGCUGGGAAAACUGAUGGGAGAUUGCUAGCCGGGGGCCAAGUGUUAGGAAGAACUGAAAGGAGAGAGCACGAAGUUGGAAAGUUGGUGUGGGAAGAAGAGAACGUCCUGAAAACAAAGCCUAAGAGGACAGCAACACGGUCAGAAUUCAGAAAUGCAUGAAGAAAACAUUUGUUGGAAUGGAGACACAUAGCCACAGCGGCAGCCUCUCGUACCUGCAUCUGAAUCCCGCAAGGCUGAAAUCCCUGCUAACAGUAAGGAUGAUCUUCCCAGCCAAAGCGACGAGCCUUCUCUCUACGAAUAUUCCCCUCACCAAGAACCUUGAGGUUGGUGGAAGGUCAGCAGAGCAGAAAGGUGUGUUUCAGCUUUGUACUGAAGUUAGCAUGUUGAAGGAGUGGGGUGGACCUAUCAACUUUAUCAACAUCAACUUUAUGGUGCUUUCCUCCAUUAGAAUAGAGUUUGCUAUGCCAUCUGACGGUGUAUGUCAGCAAUAUCGCUGGACCACAGUGGUUAAAGUAUCCGUGAACCCGUGGCAUAAAGGACAGAGCAUGGGCCCCUAAAUCAAAAGGACCUGGGGUCUAAUCCCCACUUGUCUGCUGUGUGACCUUGGGUAAGUCACAUAACUUCUCUGUGCCACAGUUGCCUCAUCAGUAAAAUGUGAGCCUCAUGUGGGGCAUGGACUGCGUCCAACAUGAUUAGCUUGGCUCUACCCCAGUACUUAGUACAGAGCCUGACACAUAGUAAGCACUUAAAUACCAUAAAGAACCAAUGGAUUCAGGAUUGAUGAGGAACACCCCUCGCCACCCCUCAACCGGCAAUUUCAAAAGCUGAAUUUUAGUUCUGCAAAAGGAACUGCACGAAUUAUACAUUUUAUGUUCUGUCUUCCAUAGAAAAAGAGGCACAUAUCAAACCUACAGUCUUAAAGAUUCAUUUACUCCUACCCCACAUUUCCAAGAGACGCUAAGAUAAUGGUGCAUUUCCUGUCACUCUUGGCAGAAGUGAGGGAGACUCACGGAUCAGCACAUAGAUCACUAGCACGAUAAUCGAUUCCUUUGCCCCGGCAGAUCCUCGGUCCUUCAGUAUCAGGUCGGGGACCUGACCAUCAUUAGCCACACUGGGUUCCACCAUCACUCUGGCACUCCUUGGUGCGAUGAUCCCCACCCUCCCACACUGCUUACCUAGCAGAAUCUCAACCGACUUUCUUUGCUCUCCCAGAGCACCAUCACUUACUCAGCACAAAACCCAUCCACGGAAGCAGAAGGUGCUUAAGGAGAUAGACCGUGUGUGUUUUAUUUCUGUUUUUAAGACCAACUUAUCGUGUAGAUUCAGGCACCUCAAUUAACCCCCUCCCUUCCCCCCCCCGUGGUUCAGUUUAUUCAUCUUUGUAAUGGAAUGGGAAUGCGAGGUCCCAGAGAGUGGGUUUCAAGAGGCAGUGUUGGUGUGUUUAGAGAGCACGUUGUAAUCUGAGUAUUAAAGAGGCUAUUAGAGGCAAAAUAAUACUCAGCCUUUCAUUUGUCGGGGAAGAUGACUAGCCUAGCCAGCAGGGGCAAGGGCAAUCUACAUGACCACAGCAGGGUCUGCCCUGGCGGGAGAUCAAUCAGAGGAAGAACACAUUUCCAGGGUUCCCUAAAAACCCCUUCAGCUGGAAGGCUCCCCUUGGUUUCAUUCCCCUGGAAGAUGAUGGGAAGGAGGAAUUUCUCUCAGCCUUGUCCAACGGGACAGUCCAAUUGCUUAGCCCCCCUUUCAUGCAGAUCAGACUAUGGCCAAACCCCUAAAGUCAGUGACCUAGCCUAGCAGUGGCCAGUCCCUACCUGCGUUCAAUGCCCCUAGGACGAACCUAUCUGUGGGUCUGUCUGUCUUCCUCCCACGCACAGAGGCCACCGCUACAAUCUCGGCAAGCAGCAGGAAUUGCCAGCUGUCUCAGAGGACACCUUAUUGGUGGAGAGCUUCCCAGGCCACGAGAUAUCUAAUGGGUACCGUGGGAGACAGCCUAGCCAGAAAAAGCAUCUAGGAGCCUUACUAACCCACACUGGCAAGGACACCCCAAAGAGAGCUAAGGAUUCAGUCUUUAGCAACCAGGGUUAAGGGAAGCAGAAUCCCAGGAGUAUACAUGGAGGUGGCCACUCACUGAUAAUGAUAUUAAUGAUAUUUUGUGCCAAGCACGGUACAAAUCUCAGGGGUGGAUGCCCCAUCAUGGGCCGUUUUGAUUCUUAUUAUAGUUUGCCCAUUAGUUGAUUCUUAUUUCUUCUUUGUCCCUAGGGGAGACCCUCUGUAGAGGGAAGCACAUGGGCUCUGCUGCCCCUGCUGCUCAUGGGGAGGUAUCCUGUUUGGCCUUGAGAAUUCUUCCACCUGACCAUCAUUUAUGCCAUAUUAGGUGGUAGUGCUUCUGGCUUAUGCUAAUUAAGGUUGGCUGUGUGUGCAGUAAAUGGCUUCCUCAGAAUCUGCUGACUUGUAAGUCACUUCACUUCUCUGUGCCUGAGUUACCUCAUCUGUAAAAUGGGGAUUAACUGUGAGCCUCACGUGGGACAACCAGAUUACCCUGUAUCUACCCCAGGGGUUAGAACAGUGCUCUGCAUAUAGUAAGCACUUAACAAAUACCAACACUUAUUAUUAUCUCUUACAUCUUUCCAUUACAACCUAGUCCACAGUAUAACCUAUUGGAAGGGCCAUGAUGCUGAAAGUCACUAGAUUCAGGUUCCAGUCAGCUCUCCACUUGCUUGCUGUGCCUGAGGGCAAAUUGGACCUGCCCUGCACCUAUAAAAUGGGGAUAAUAAUAGUAAUAAUAAUAAUGGUAAUUGUUAAGCUCUUACUAUGCGCCUAUCACUGUUCUAAGCACUGGGGGAGAUACAAGGUAAUCAUGUUGUCCCCCGUGGGGCUCAGUCUUCAUUCCCCAUUUUACAGAUGAGGUAACUGAGGCACAGAGAAGUGAAGUAACUUGCCCAAAGUCAUACAGAUGACAAGUGGCAGAGCCGGGAUUAGAACCCACGACCGCUGACUCCGAAACCCGUGCUCUUUCCACUGAGCCAAGGAGAACACCAGCUCUCAGAGUGUGAGCCCUGUAGGGGCCUGGAACUACAAUCUAACCCUCAACGUCUCUUUCUUUCAGUCUGCAUAUUCAGGUCUGUCAUCAAAUCCUGCCCAUUCACAUCUCUGAAAAAUCCACCUUUGCUGAUCCAAGCACUUAUAUCCCACCUUGACUAGCUUUCUUGCUGGACCUCCCUGCCUCUCCCCUCUCCAGUCUAUACUUCACUCUGCCACCUGGAUCAUUAAAAGAAAAAGAAAAGAAAGUUGAGUCUAUCUCCCCUCUCCUCAAAACCACCAAUAAUUGUCCAUCCACUUUCACAACAAACAGAAACCCCUUACCACCAACUUUAAAGUACUCAGUCAGCUCUCUCCCUUCUUCCUUACCUCACUCAUUUCCUGCAACAACCCAACUUACACACUUCAUUUCUCUAGCCAACAGCCUACUUGCUGUUCCUUGGUCUUACCUCUCUCAUUGCAGAUUCUUUGCUCACAUCCUCCCUCUGGCCUAGAACCUUCUCCCCAUUCAUAACCAACAGACCACUCUUUCCCCAUCUUCAAAGCCCUAGUCACAUCACACCUACACCAAGAAGGCUUCCUUGACAAACCUCACCCUAUCGCCUCUCUCUUCUGGGAUAGCUAUGCACUUUCAUUCAUUCAAUAGUAUUUAUUGAGCGCUUACUAUGUGCAGAGCACUGUACUAAGUGCUUGGGAUGAACAAGUCGGCAACAGAUAGAGACAGUCCCUGCCGUUUGACGGGCUUACAGUCUAAUCGGGGGAGACGGACAGACAAGAACAAUGGCACUAAACAGCGUCAAGGGGAAGAACAUCUCGUAAAAACAAUGGCAACUAAAUAGAAUCGAGGCGAUGUACAAUUCAUUAACAAAAUAAAUAGGGUAACGAAAAUAUAUACAGUUGAGCGGACGGGUACAGUGCUGUGGGGAUGGGAAGGGAGAGGUGGAGGAGCAGAGGGAAAAGGGGAAAAUGAGGCUUUAGCUGCGGAGAGGUAAAGGGGGGAUGGCAGAGGGAGUAGAGGGGGAAGAGGAGCUCAGUCUGGGAAGGCCUCUUGGAGGAGGUGAUUUUUAAGUAAGGUUUUGAAGAGGGAAAGAGAAUCAGUUUGGCGGAAGUGAGGAGGGAGGGCGUUCCAGGACCGCGGGAGGACGUGACCCAGGGGUCGACGGCGGGAUAGGCG
rnacentral:lncRNA from 1 species